GUGGGAGUAUCCGAGCCAGGUCAAAGGAGCAGGGUUGAGGGCCCUGUCGCGAAGGCGUUCGAGGGUUCAAAUCCCUUCUCCCACA
rnacentral:tRNA from 1 species